CGCAUAUUGCGCCCUCUGGCAUUCCGGAGGGCAUGCCUGUCCGAGCGUCAUUAUCAACCCUCAAGCCCCUGGCUUGGUCUUGGAUCCCGUCGAGCUCGUCGGAGCACGACGGACCCGAAAAGGAAAGGCGGAGCCCGUGGAAACUCUGGAUGCAGCGAGCUCUACAGCACGCGUCGUGGUGGAUCCCAGGCUCGGCCAAAACCGAUAUAUCAUCCUAAGAUUGACCUCGGAUCAGGUAGGGAUACCCGCUGAACUUAA
rnacentral:misc_RNA from 1 species